rnacentral:misc_RNA from 1 species
CAAGAAGCCGAAAGGCUACUUAAAACCAUCGCGAACUUAUCCAAGUUGCUUCGGCGGCGCGGCUCCCCUCACGGGGGACCGCAGCCCCCGCUUCUCAGGAGGUAAGGGGCAGCCGCCGGAGGUACGAAACUCUGUAUUAUAGUGGUAUCUCUGAGUAUAAAACAAAUAAGUUA